AAAUGGGUUCCAUACCUGAUCCGAGGUCACCUGAAGAAAAUGGUUGGAGACGUCGGCUGGCGCCCGGCCGGCCCUAGUCGAGCGGGUGACAAAGCCCCAUACGCUCGAGGACCGGACACGGUGCCGCCGCUGCCUUUCGGGCCCGUCCCCCGGGGGGGACGACGACCCAACACACAAGCCGGGCUUGAUGGGCAGCAAUGACGCUCGGACAGGCAUGCCCCCCGGAAUGCCAGGGGGCGCAAUGUGCGUUCAAAGACUCGAUGAUUCACUGAAUUCUGCAAUUCACAUUACUUAUCGCAGUUCGCUGCGUUCUUCAUCGAUGCCGGAACCAAUAGAUCCAUUGUUGAAAGUUUUGACUGAUUUUAUAUUCAGACUCAGACUGCAUCACUCUCAGGCAUGAAGUUCAGUAGUCCCCGGCGGCUCGCCCCCGAGGGGGUUCCGCCCGGAAGCAACAGAGUUAGGCAAUCACGGUUGGUAGGGUGGGCCCCGGAAAGGGGAGGGAAUCCGGAGAAACUUAGGCGAAGAUAGCCGGAAAAACCUUUUCUCUGUAAUGUCCUUUCCGUUUGCUUUUUUUGUUUUUCUUUUCGCUCUUUUUUUCUCCCUCCUUUUUUU
rnacentral:misc_RNA from 1 species